ACACUGUGACCCGGGUGGGAGGGGUCGGCCACACUGUGACCCGGGUGGGAGGAGUCGGCCACACUGUGACCCGGGUGGGAGGGGUCGGCCACACUGUGACCUGCCCGCCUCAGGGUCCUAGAGGCCAACAGGUCCUGUAGAGAUGCAGAUUGCAGCCAAUCACCUUCUGGCAGAGCGGAUGACACGCUGCAGUCGGCCUUUGUCACUGGCAGUGGCAGCAGCAGCGUACCAGGUGGGGAUGCAGGAGGAGAGGAUGGACUCCAUGAUGCAGGUGGAGAAGUGCACCAUCAUUGUCUUUGGCAGGUUGAACUUCUUCAGCUGCCGCAGAAAGAACAUCCUCUGUUGAGCUCUUUUGGUGAGGGAGCUGAUGUUCAGCUGCCACUGAGGUCCUGGGGGAGUCCCUCAGGGUGAUGGGGGGGGGGGGCUCUGAGGUGGGCAGUUGUGAGGCGCAGUUGACUUGAUCUAUCAAGGGCUUUAACAUUAUAUUGUAAAAAUAAUUGUUUUAACAACACGCCGUGGAAAGGGAACGCAUUAACAAGCUAUGAAUGAUGUGUAAACACAGUUUUAACUGCUGAAGAUUCCAGAUGUUAAUUCACUUUAAAUUAGCACACAAAAAACCUAGGAAUCUAGCAAAAGGAGCAGAGCAGCAAUAGCCAAAUCGUAUUAAAAUACAUUUGUAUGGCCACUACGGGGAGAAUUUAUACAACCGAAUGAUUUCAAAAGCAGCCGUUAUCAGAGAAGUCAGGCGGCGCUUGUUAUUAACACCGGGACAGCUCGGAUCCAACAAACCGGGGUCAGCCCCCCACAAAGCCUAACGUAAAUAGACUCCGCCUACUGCGCACCGUGUCGGCAUAUAGCGGUCACUAUUCCAAGUGAACCCAGACGAGAAGGCAUCGCCAUUGGUCAGUUGGAAAACGUUGACCGCCCCGAUCGCGCUUGACUAAGUUCGGUCGCAGUCGUUUAAAACUGGUUAGUUUAAGUUUGUUUUUUAAAAUGGCGACAACUACUCCCACCGGUCAGCGGAGCAAGGGCAGCACUCCGUUGACCGCAAACAGGAUCACCCGGCUGGAGGAGAAGCGGCAGCUCCAGGACCUCAACGAUCGUCUGGUGGUGUACAUUGACAAGGUCCGCAGCUUGGAGUCGGAGAACGACGUCCUCCAGGUCACCAUCACGAAGAAGGAGGACGUCAGGAGCCGCGAGGUGACUGGACUCAAGGCCCUCUACGAGACGGAGCUAGCGGACGCCCGGAGGAGCCUGGACGAGUCCUCCAAGGAGCGGGCCCGGCUGCAGAUCGAGCUGGGGAAGAUCCAGAGCGAGCACCAGCAGCUCCAGCUCAAACUGCAGAGAUGAUCAACAGCCUGAAGAACAUCCUGCCUGUCCCGGGAGAAGAGAUGGAACAGCAGAUGUGUCUGGAAGAAGUCAUUCUGCCAGAGUGGAGGAUAUAAGGGAGACAGCCCUGCACCUCAAGAGCCGACAGACCAACAGGUAAUUGUUAAAAGUCUGAUAUAUCAUGUCUGAACAAAUACACAGUGAAACAAAAGGAUAAAGUCUCCCUCCUCUAGAUAAGAACUCUAGGAACAUUGUACAUACUUUGCUGGUGGAUUGGAGUCCCACCAUAUUAUUUACACUGCAGUGAAAUCUUGCUUCUGUAACACCCUGUUAAAUGUUGUGUCUGUCUCCCCAGUAAUUUGUCAUUCCCGUCACCUGCCCCAGCCACUCCCGUCUCGCUGAUCCCUGAUGUCCCACACCUGUGUUUCCCCACCUUAUAUAUUCUCCCAGUCUUUGCUUUGUUCCCUGCCAGAUUGUUGUGUGUUUUGCCCCUCGUGUCAAAUUGCUCAUUUUUCAAGUAAAACAUUUGUUUCUCAAACACAGAGUCUGACGUUCCUUCUGCACUUGAGCUUACCCGUGUGAUUCUGUGACAGCUUCUACCACCAACUCAUCCAUUUGUGGUUUUGAAACAACAUCCAUGCUCAAGGAACUCCAGCCACAGUCCACAAGCAUCAAGUGCAGAUCACUAGAGACAUCUUGAAAUAGUAUUUGUCGUGGCCAUUUGUUCGAUAAAUCAGUCGCAUUACCCAAUUCAUAAACAAGGGAACAAACCAAAGACUAAGUAUACAUAGACAACAACGACAAAUGGCUUAAUUUAACAAAUAUAUGUAUAUUCUGAAUAGGCAAACAUCUAGAAUAAUUAAACAAGUAUACUUACAAAUAGAAUAACUAAAUACUAACACAAAAUAAAAAGCUCCUACAGUAUUUCUGUGCUGAUUUAGAAUUCAAAUGUAUCACUUUUCUUUCUUAAUUACAUUUAGCUAUUGUUUCAUAUUGUAUAGUCAAAGUGACUUAAAAACGAAAUGUACUUGAAAUAAAUGGUGUGUGUUUUUGUUAUGUUCAUAUUCUUCUCAUGCAGAAUUCUGGAAAAUUAAGAAGAAUUGAGCAUGCUCUGUUGGCAGCCAAGUGGUGGCGGACCUGGCCUUUAAAGGAGAAAGUGACCGAGGUGACGCUAAUGGACCGAGCAGAACCGCUAAAGGCCAGAGGAAAAAACAUGCGGAGAGGAAGAAGCUGAACGACUAUUUGAUUUCAACUUUGAACACCAAAGUGAUGACAACAUGUUUUGUGAAUAAUUCAUGGAGAAGGGCUCCAAGGUGGAGGGGUCAUUCAGCUCUGAUGAGAUGCUUCAUGAGAGUUCAUCCUCUUGAGUUUUGUUUUAUUAAAUGUAUUUCAUAUUUACAAAUAUGAUCCGUGAAUCCUGUU